rnacentral:rRNA from 1 species
GACGAACGCUGGCGGCGUGCUUAACACAUGCAAGUCGAACGGAAAGGCCCUGCUUUUGUGGGGUGCUCGAGUGGCGAACGGGUGAGUAACACGUGAGUAACCUGCCCUUGACUUUGGGAUAACUUCAGGAAACUGGGGCUAAUACCGGAUAGGAGCUCCUGCUGCAUGGUGUGGGUUGGAAAGUUUCGGCGGUUGGGGAUGGACUCGCGGCUUAUCAGCUUGUUGGUGGGGUAGUGGCUUACCAAGGCUUUGACGGGUAGCCGGCCUGAGAGGGUGACCGGCGACAUGGGGACUGAGGUACGGCCCAGACUCCUACGGGAGGCAGCAGUGGGGAAUAUUGCACAAUGGGCGGAAGCCUGAUGCAGCAACGCCGCGUGCGGGAUGACGGCCUUCGGGUUGUAAACCGCUUUCGCCUGUGACGAAGCGUGAGUGACGGUAAUGGGUAAAGAAGCACCGGCUAACUACGUG